rnacentral:lncRNA from 1 species
GAUAAAAUUCAGGCCAAGAGAAGCAAAGACAGCAAAGACUGACAUAAAAAAGAAACAACAAAAACAACUCUUGUUAAUGAUGUAGAAUUAAUCUGAAUUCUCCAAAAACCUGCCUCAUACUUUAUUAACCAAGAACAAAGGUGAAGUCAAUUUAGAAGAUGCCAGAGCAAAAGAGGAGACCCACUUUUGUCUCUCAUCCUUA